AAAUUCUGCCCUAUGAAUAUUUAAAUGGCUGCAGUAUUUUGACUGUACAAAGGUAGCAUAAUAAUUAGUCUUUUAAUUGAGGACUGGAAUGAAAGAUUUAAUGAGAAAUUAUUUUUAUUAGUUUUAUCUUUUAAAUUUUAUUUUUAGGUAAAAAAGCCCAAUUUUUUUUUAGUGACGAAAAGACCCUAUAGAAUUUUACUAAUUAAGUUUAAAUUAUAUUUUAAUUAAUAAUUAAUUUUUAUUUAUUAGUUUUAUUGGGGUGAUAAUUAAAUUAAACUUUAAUUUCUAAUUUCAUUAAUUUAUGUUUUUAUUGAAUUAAAAUUUAAUUAAAAGAUAAAAUUACCUUAGGGAUAACAGCGUAAUUUUUAUGGCGAGUUCAUAUCUAUAUAAAAGUUUGCGACCUCGAUGUUGAAUUAAGAUAAAUAGGAGAAGAAGUAUUUUCUUUAUUAAGUCUGUUCGACUUUUAAAUUCUU
rnacentral:rRNA from 1 species